rnacentral:rRNA from 1 species
GUGUUGAUGUUCUAACGUCGACCCCUUAUCGGGGUUGCGGACAGUGCCUGGUGGGUAGUUUGACUGGGGCGGUCUCCUCCCAAAGAGUAACGGAGGAGCACGAAGGUGGGCUAAUCACGGUUGGACAUCGUGAGGUUAGUGCAAUGGCAUAAGCCCGCUUGACUGCGAGAAUGACAAUUCGAGCAGGUGCGAAAGCAGGUCAUAGUGAUCCGGUGGUUCUGAAUGGAAGGGCCAUCGCUCAACGGAUAAAAGGUACUCCGGGGAUAACAGGCUGAUACCGCCCAAGAGUUCAUAUCGACGGCGGUGUUUGGCACCUCGAUGUCGGCUCAUCACAUCCUGGGGCUGAAGUCGGUCCCAAGGGUAUGGCUGUUCGCCAUUUAAAGUGGUACGCGAGCUGGGUUUAGAACGUCGUGAGACAGUUCGGUCCCUAUCUGCCGUGGGCGUUGGAAGAUUGAAGGGGGCUGCUCCUAGUACGAGAGGACCGGAGUGGACGAACCUCUGGUGUUCGGGUUGUGUCGCCAGACGCAUUGCCCGGUAGCUAAGUUCGGAAUCGAUAACCGCUGAAAGCAUCUAAGCGGGAAGCGAGCCCUGAGAUGAGUCUUCCCUGAUACUUUAAGUAUCCUAAAGGGUUGUCGGAGACUACGACGUUGAUAGGUCAGGUGUGUAAGUGCUGUGAGGCAUUGAGCUAACUGAUACUAAUUGCCCGUGAGGCUUAACCAU